CUGGAAUCGCUAGUAAUCGCGGAUCAGAAUGCCGCGGUGAAUACGUUCCCGGGUCUUGUACACACCGCCCGUCACACCAUGGGAGUCGGAAAUGCCCGAAGUCUGUGACCCAACCUGAGAGGGAGGGAGCAGCCGAAGGCAGGUCUGAUGACUGGGGUGAAGUCGUAACAAGGUAUC
rnacentral:rRNA from 1 species